CCGAGGUAAUGGUGGCACGACGGAGGUCGUGGCUCGCCCCCCACCGACUCUCUUGCACCCCCAUUUUCCCUGCCCCCUCCCCGGCGUCCUUACCUCUGCCAUCCGACCUUCCCGAGCUCUCCCUCUUCGGGGUUGCCGCCAUCCGAUGCCGCGCGCCAUGAUUCCAAAUUGGUCGCAAUUCGAUAAGGAGCGGUUGCUGCAGUGAGGGCAGUAGGGUCCCACCCCGGCGGCUGUGUGUAGAGGGGGAGAGGUUGACACAGGCCUAGCAGCAGAGGAUGAAGAUGGAGCUGGCAGCAGGGAUCAUGGGAGCAACGGGGGUGGCUGGCCACCCAAAGCUAGACGAGAAAGGGGGCAGCAAUGCAGGGACGGAAUAUGGUGUCCAUGCGCUAUCCAUUUCUACUCAUCUUCAGCUUGCAGGUUGCUGAGUUUUCUCCUCUCUGCUUGUUGGUUUUCUUUGAUUAGUAGAACAAGUAGCACAACAUGUGUUUGUGAAAAUGCUUCUCACAGAUGGAACUUUUGGUGUGCCUAGACCCGCCUUCUUUAUUAGGAGAAUAUGCUUGCUGAGACAUAUGGUCUAAAUUUCGAUUAGUACAGAAUUUUCGAUUACCUAAGUACUAUUAAUGUAAUUAUUCCGUCUCCUAUGACAUAUGCAUGUGGCACUUUGAUUUUGGUGUAGAAGGAUGUACAAAUGUUUACUGUUGAGUGAUAUUGAUAUUUUUCCUUGGCGCACCAUCAAGAACUAGGAAGAGCAACAUCUGUAUGGCUAGAUGUAUCUUUUUUGAGCAACUUAGUUCAUGUAUAAUGAGCAACUGAGCAUAUUUGGUGUUCAUUCCUGAGAUAUAUCUGUAUCUGUCUCCUCUUUUUAGAUUUUUAUCUAAAAGCAGAGCUACCUACUAAUAGCUCACAAGAUCGAAAACUAAGCCUGAUUUCUCAGUGUGCAGGUGCUCACAAGAUCAUUGUUUUGCAUAACCGUCUUAGGAAUCUUCCGUUGUGGUGCUCAUGUGUCUAAGAAAUUAACAGGGCAGAGGCUCUAGAGAGGAGGUUUGAUUUUCCUUUUCGGGGUUUGUAGCACGAAUGCAAGAAUUUCUCAUGUAGGUUUGGAGAUGUCCUUACUUUCAUGGCUCAAUCAUCAAAUGACGUCAAAAUUGAAUUCCUAAAAGCAAGGCUAAUUGAUGAAGGAAAACUAACUGAUGCUCUUGUUGUAUCCGACUGCUGUUUGUGUAAUGGAGCGUCUGAUAAAUUACUUUGAUUGUCCAUUGAUCAAAGGGAGUAAAUAAUAAGUCUAGGCAUAGGACAAUGUAACAGUGCUUGAGUCCUUACAUCAUACAUGAUCGUGUAAUUCUAUGACAUGGACUGUUUAUGGAGUUAAAUCUCGACAAGGCAUAUUUCCCAUUUCUCAGAUUACUUUCCCAUAUCUUGUGCUGACCACUCCCAGGACACCAGAUCCGCGUCCGCAUUGUCCCUCCAGCCUUGCUCAUUGGACGAAGAUGACAGGGAGAGGAGGAUGCUAGCCAGGAAGGUGCACAUGGCAUUGGCGUCGCCGACCCCUCACUGGCGAUGGUACAAUCAGAUCACCUUAACCAUCACUAGAAUUUUAUCCUAUUUUAUUUAAUCACAUAGGCCAAGGAGCCAUCAGCGAUGGUGUAGCUGCAGCAGCCUGUCAAUUGGAGGAGAGGCCAAGGACCAUGGUUGAUCUAAGAGCAGUCUCAACUUGGUUAUUGAUCUGUUCUGGAGCAUGGUUCGUCUAUCUAUGAUUCCCCACCCUUACACAACACGGUCCACAUCUUGAAUUUGAAGUGAACUUUAGUCUAAUUUGUUGCUGGUUGUGCUGAACAGUUCGGUUAGGGUGGACGUGCUUUUAUUCUAUUUGUGCUUGUGAAAAACUUGAGUUCCUUUGUCCGAGUUGAGUGCACUCAAAAUCGACUGUCGGGAGAAUUUGUAAUGCCCAGUUGACGGUUUUGGAGGCUCAUGGUUUUGUGGCAUGGGUUGUUC